rnacentral:sRNA from 1 species
UUGACAGCCUGAGAGAAUAAAUAACAAUAUAUCCAGAGAAUUAAUAUUGUAUUAGUAGUAAUAAUGCAAGCUCCCUUAGACUAGCAAUGUGUCUCAGUCUUGACCUAAAGGAGACUACCUUCUGAGAAGGAAGAGGUUCAGUCUCAUUAAGCAUGCAUCUCUCAGACUUUU